CAAGUGACAGGGCGAAGCCUGCUCCGCCCCUCCGCGCGAGCGAAGAAGGCCCCCGGGCCGUAAAGCCCCCCCGCAAGGGAAGAAACGAUGCAGUCGAAUAAACCGUGUUAAUGACGGUACCUCGAUAAGAAGCACCGGCUAACCACGCGCCAGCAGCCGCGGUAAUACGUAGGGUGCAAGCGUUAAUCGGAAUCACUGGGCGUAAAGCGUGCGCAGGCGGUUUUGUAAGUCAGAUGUGAAAUCCCCGAGCUCAACUUGGGAACUGCGUUUGAAACUACAAGACUAGAAUAUGUCAGAGGGGGGUAGAAUUCCACGUGUAGCAGUGAAGGGCGGAGAGAUGUGGAGGAAUACCAAUGGCGAAGGCAGCCCCCUGGGAUAAUAUUGACGCUCAUGCACGAAAG
rnacentral:rRNA from 1 species